AUAAACGUACAAAAAGAAGAGUACCUUUCUAAAAAGAUUACAGAGAGCUUCGUUGUGGUGAAAGAAGUAGAUUUUGAAAUUGGGAAUAUGGCCUUUUUAUGGACUUGCUAAGCUUAUUGUUAGGCGAGUACGGGAUUGCCCGUUACAGCAGAGGGUAUUGAUAGAUACCUAUUGAGUUCAUUAGUGGAAGCUAAUGAAAAAUUAAGGUGGUAACACGAGCUUUCGUCCUUAUA
rfam:Peptoniphilus indolicus ATCC 29427 genomic scaffold SCAFFOLD1, whole genome shotgun sequence.